rnacentral:sRNA from 1 species
CCUGUGCACUUGAGGACCUGCAAUGAAACCAGAAGCCUACUCUAUCGUGGUAGCACAUGUAUAAUAAGCAGAGGCGUGCAGGAAAGAAAAAGAACACAACUGAGACAAAAUAGAGCUUCUAGGACUUUAGUCAAAGGCAGAAAGUGAUUUAACCUUGACAGUGAUGACGUCCUGAGCUGGUUCACUCUGCUGCCUCAUAGGCUGCUCGCAUCCUGGGUGUUACGAGCUGGGGACCGAACCAGGGCCUUGCGCUUCCUAGGAAUGAACACAGAGGGAGAUGACCUAACAAUGACGUGACAAUAAUAACAGCUGAUGGGACUGAACGCCAUGCGUACAUUAACCCUCUGCGCUUUCCAAUCGUUGUUAUUUUGAACUCGCUGUGCCUGAGUUGUGCCUGGGUUGAGGGUGUAGGGUGUAGCUUACGAGUGUCCACUUUGUCCUUGUUUGCUCUUGAGUGCUGUGAUAAAACACCACGACAGAAAGCAAUUUGGGGAGGAAAGGCUUAUUUGGCUCACCCACCUCAAUCACAGCUCAUCGCCGAGGGAAGACAGGACAGGAACUCCAGGCAGGAGGAGUCUGGAGACAGUAAGUGAUAGAGACCGUGGAGAAACAGUUCGAUAUUAAGGUUUCUUCUUCCCAGGUGACCCUAGUUCGUAUCAAACUGACAAAACAAACAAACAAAAUAAAUCUCUUCUCCUCAAA